CAUGAAUAUGGUUCCAGCAAUCAGCCUCAGAAUAGCAUUGUUUCCAAUGGCUGAAUCAGCCAGCCACUCUUUCAAGCUUGAAAUAGUGGAUUCCUUGUUUGCUGGGCUUGAGAGAUACAAGGCCAGCAAUUUCACCGCCUGGAGCGGAGUGGCAGCCGAAUUGUCGAUUUCAUUGAUCACCAGCUGGUAGCUGCCAAGGGCAAUAUAAGAGCGGUAGACGAGGCAGUCACGCUCAACGGCGUCGUCGGGGGAGAGAUUGGGAAGGUCGCUGUUGUUGAUGGCAGCCUGGUAAGCUCCCAAGUAGAAAUUGUUUCG
rnacentral:misc_RNA from 1 species